rnacentral:rRNA from 1 species
GAUGAACGCUGGCGGCGUGCCUAAUACAUGCAAGUCGAGCGAACGGACGAGAAGCUUGCUUCUCUGAUGUUAGCGGCGGACGGGUGAGUAACACGUGGAUAACCUACCUAUAAGACUGGGAUAACUUCGGGAAACCGGAGCUAAUACCGGAUAAUAUUUUGAACCGCAUGGUUCAAAAGUGAAAGACGGUCUUGCUGUCACUUAUAGAUGGAUCCGCGCUGCAUUAGCUAGUUGGUAAGGUAACGGCUUACCAAGGCAACGAUGCAUAGCCGACCUGAGAGGGGGAUCGGCCACACUGGAGCUGAGACGCGAUCCGGACUCCUACGGAAGGCAGCAGUAGGGAAUCUUCCGAAAUGGGGGAAAGCCUGACGGAGCAACGCAGCGUGAGUGAUGAAGGUCUGCGGAUCGUAAAACGCUGUUAUUAGGGAAGAACAUAUGUGUAAGUAACUGUGCACAUCUUGACGGUACCUAAUCAGAAAGCCACGGCUAACUACGU